UGGGAGCACUAUCGGAUACGCCCCUAAUCAAUGACGCGACCGCAGUGACAGUAACUAGUGUAACGCUGGCCAUGCAGGGGAGGCAGUCUGAUAUUCUAUUGAAGAGAAGCCUCAGUAGUGACGAUGCAACAUGAUCACAGAAUUUGUAUCAGCCUGCGCUGCAAGCCAGUAGAGGGAGUCCAAGACUUGAAUCGUUUUUACCCAUUCGAUUCUGCCAGGAGCUCAGCCCGUGAAUCAGAUGGUCAUGCCGCCUUAACUGCAACACAAAAUGGCCCCUUUGGACUUGGCUGAGGUCAGCGGCGGAGGAGUACGCCACGCUGAGAGGUGUGAUGUGGCUCUGUUGGUUUGACCCACACCUGCUGCGUAUCCUUCACUCAAGCACUGGAGGGACAGAUGAUGUGUUCCUGCUUUUUCUUUUACUCAAAAGAAAAAAGAAGGAACUAUGUCCUGACCCUCCGGCUGGCCUGAAACAGUGACUCAUCAGCUGUAGCGCCUGUCAUCUCGUCAUCAAUGGUAGCAGAUUGACUAGAAACCAGUUUUACAGCUACACUACAGAGGGCCUGUUGCUACACACGUAACAUGUGGCUGCUAUUUUUAAGGUGUGAAAUGCAUUUGUCUUCAGCCCCGUUGAUGUUUCUGAUGACAGCUGCCAUCUCUACAAAUAGCCUGGGAUGUGGUGAGAACAUUCACAGCCCUGUCCUACGCUGCCUCGCUCUCAACAUCAAGCACGUCUGGAGUGGGAGUUAAAGAUGUGGCUACACUGAGACAGAUAUUUUACCAUUCACUAUUCGGCAGCGGAUGAAGAAGAAUACAAGUAUAAUAUACUGUUUGUUUACCCGUACCCAUGAGGGAUCGCACCAGGCAUGGUGCAACAUCCCUUUUUUAUUAUAGUAGUAGCUGUGGGAGAUUUUUUAAAGAAUGUACUGUAUGCAGUCACUAUCUGCA